GAAGAACCAAAUGCUUGUAAUUUGAAAUUCAUCUGAUACAUCUUUAAAGACCUCUCUAAGUUCAUCUACAACAUGAUCAUUGUGAAGCUGUUAUUUUGAACCUGUGACUUGUGGAAUUCAUCUGUUACAUGGGCUAUUUUGGAGAAGAUUAUGGAAUGGAUAAGCUUGGAUGUGGUCAUCUUUAUUUGAUGCCUUGCUCUUCAAGAUAAUAUAAUUG
rnacentral:lncRNA from 1 species